rnacentral:rRNA from 1 species
CUACGGGUUGCUGCAGUGAGGAAUAUUGCACAAUGGGGGGAACCCUGAUGCAGCAACGCCGCGUGGAGGAUGACGCAUUUCGGUGUGUAAACUCCUUUUAUAUGUCAAGAAAAUGACGGUAGCAUAUGAAUAAGUACCGGCUAACUCCGUGCCAGCAGCCGCGGUAAUACGGAGGGUGCAAGCGUUACUCGGAAUCACUGGGCGUAAAGGACGCGUAGGCGGGUUGGAAAGUCAGGUGUGAAAUCCUACAGCUUAACUGUAGAACUGCACUUGAAACUUCUAAUCUAGAGUAUGGGAGGGGGAGAUGGAAUUAGUGGUGUAGGGGUAAAAUCCGUAGAUAUCACUAGGAAUACCUAAAGCGAAGGCGAUCUCCUGGAACAUUACUGACGCUAGGGCGUGAAAGCGUGGGGAGCAAACAGGAUUAGAUACCCCAGUAGUC